GACGAACGCUGGCGGCGUGCUUAACACAUGCAAGACGAACGGAAAGGCCCUGCUUUUGUGGGGUGCUCGAGUGGCGAACGGGUGAGUAACACGUGAGUAACCUGCCCUUGACUUUGGGAUAACUUCAGGAAACUGGGGCUAAUACCGGAUAGGAGCUCCUGCUGCAUGGUGGGGGUUGGAAAGUUUCGGCGGGUGGGGAUGGACUCGCGGCUUAUCAGCUUGUUGGUGGGGUAGUGGCUUACCAAGGCUUUGACGGGUAGCCGGCCUGAGAGGGUGACCGGCCACAUUGGGACUGAGAUACGGCCCAGACUCCUACGGGAGGCAGCAGUGGGGAAUAUUGCACAAUGGGCGGAAGCCUGAUGCAGCAACGCCGCGUGCGGGAUGACGGCCUUCGGGUUGUAAACCGCUUUCGCCUGUGACGAAGCGUGAGUGACGGUAAUGGGUAAAGAAGCACCGGCUAACUACGUG
rnacentral:rRNA from 1 species